rnacentral:rRNA from 1 species
AUAUCAAUAAGCGGAGGAAAAGAAACUAACAAGGAUUCCCCUAGUAACUGCGAGUGAAGCGGGAAAAGCUCAAAUUUAAAAUCUGGUGGUCUUAUGGCCUGUCCGAGUUGUAAUCUAGAGAAGCGUGCUAUCCGCGCUGGACCGAUGCUACAAGUCUCCUGGAAUGGAGUGUCAUAGAGGGUGAGAAUCCCGUCUUUGACAUGGACUGCCAGUGGCUUCUGUGAUGCGCUCUCAAAGAGUCGAGUUGUUUGGGAAUGCAGCUCAAAAUGGGUGGUGAAAUUCCAUCUAAAGCUAAAUAUUGGCGAGAGACCGAUAGCGAACAAGUACCGUGAGGGAAAGACGAAAAGAACUUUGGAAAGAGAGUUGAAACAGUAC